UGACUUUGUGGCCCAAUGGAUAAGGCGCUGGUCUACGAAACCAGAGAUUCUGGGUUCGAUCCCCAGCAGAGUCGAUUUUUUUUGCUUUGUUACAUGCUUUAUAUUGAUUAUUAUUAUUCAAUCUAAUGGCUAAAAUACAAAUGACUCUGUGGCCCAAUGGAUAAGGCGCUGGUCUACGAAACCAGAGAUUCUGGGUUCGAUCCCCAGCAGAGUCGU
rnacentral:tRNA from 1 species